CCUGGUGGCUCAGAUGGUAAAGCAUCUGCCUACAAUGCAGGAGACCCAGGUUCGAUCCCUGGGUCAGGA
rnacentral:tRNA from 1 species